rnacentral:lncRNA from 1 species
CCUCGACAAUUUAUUGUUAAAACGAGAGGCUGCCUGGAUCUUUAAUUUAAAGACCCUUGCUCCCUUCGGUCUUAACGUAGACUUUGAUCUGAAGCCAUUCUUGUGAUUAUUGUGAUUUUGCUAUUGUAAAUGUUUGUAGGCCUAUGUAGCCAAAUUGUAUCUAUGAUUGUAUGCUAUCCAUUCAUGUUUUUGGUAUGUUAUUUUUAUAUCUGAGAAUUAACCAAUGAUGUCAGGCCACACCCAGCCAUGAUUACAGACACCUGUGUGUGUCCUUUGACACUAUAUAAACUAGUCACCCCGCAGUGUUUGUCAUUAUACCGUGAUGAAGACAGCUUGUCUGUCAAAAUGUUGGUUAUUAGGUAAUUACAUUUUUGCAUCUGAGCUCCUAGAGUGUGCGGCUCUCGUUUAAUAUUUCAAGUGAUCAAAUGAAGAUCCUACAUCUGUAGCAAUUUGAUGAAGUUGGCUUUAGCUAGUCCAGAUAUGUUCCAAAUCGCCCAACCUCAUAACUAGCUACCAAGACAUUUCAGGCUAUCAAGUUAGAGUAACUUGUCUAACUAUCUUAGCUGGUAUGCCUGCUGGCAAGGUUGGUGGACUAGAAAAGCAAGCAAUUACUAAAUGUACUGAAGAAGACUCAUUCCUUUCAAUAUUUUACUCAGAUUUUAGUAGAAAUGCAGAGUAGCAUAUUUAGUUUCUUAAAUAAAAAAAACACCCGUCAGUAGGAUACAGACAGCUCAAGAGGUAUGAUUAGAUAUGCAGAAAAAUAACCAUGUUGUCUUUACAUAUAAUUAAGCAUAAUGCUUAUGGCUCUAGAUUGCAGAAAAAAACUGUUUCAGAUGUUUGAAAAAUGCUAAAUUCUCUAAAUUGGCAAAUAUCCGAAUUAUUGGUGAUAAUGAACAAAGCAAUGUCAUACAUUCCUAAUUAAUGACAUAAUUGCGUUCCGGAUUUAAUUUGUAAAUUAGCUAUUGUGAUUUUAUAUUUCUAGCCCCACCAGCCAUCCUCGCAUACUUUGUGCCCCCUCAGGUUUUUGGGUUGCAUGACGCCCCUGUCUGACACAGAGAUAGAAAGAGUGAAAUUACCGAAUAAGAACUGUUAAGAUCUAAGAAACCUUUUUCAGUACAUAUUGUAGCGAUCCGCACAGACAGCCGUGGGUUAUGUGUUAGGCUAUUAGUGGGUUGUGUCGUACCUACCAAUGUUCGCGGGGUCAUGCCAAUCAACCUGCUAUCUGCCAAUCACGGGAAUGCCUGGAAUGUUCUGAUACCGGGUAGCCUGGUGGUUGGCGGAGUGGCGUGGGGGAUGGAGCAUUGGGCAGGGGGAUGGAGCAUUGGAAGUUAAGACCGGGUUUAGCCAUUGUUCUCUCUCUUACGUCUGUGCUUCACAAGAGAAGGCCACGGUUGGUUUGUAGGGUACCUUUCAUUCAUUUGGCGUGGGCUACGGCCAAAUAGUAGCCUGUGUUAAGUUGAGUUAAUAAACCGUCCAUUCGUUAACUCCAUCCUCUGUCUGGACAAUUGUUCCUUUAUGAUCUAGUCAGGUCAUUACAAUACAUUCAUUAGAGAGGGUUUGAUUUGUCCAACAUUGAUUCCAUUAGCCUUUUUUCACCAAGUCAACUGCAAUAUAUAUUUCUUCAAUAAGUCAUUGCUUAUUGUCCUAACUCAAUAGUACUCACCUCUGGGUGUUCUGCCCUUAUUGGACGAUAAUUUAUCCAGAGGUAAACAAUUCGAACACACAAUGUAAAACAAAUGGGUUGAGAAAAACAACACAUGCAUCAUGAGAAAAAGGUCAGAUGGCUUUAGACAAUCGUGAGUUUGCUCACCAGUUGCGCACAAAGUUAUGUCAAAAACAAUAUUUACUCAUAAAAAUGCACAUAUGAUGGUAUAUGGAAAGAGGGGCGGAGCAAAACAUUGGAAUAUAAAUUGACCACUGCGUUACCGAUUGACAGGCACACGAGAGAGACCACACUAAAAAGCCUGUUACAACUUUGGCUUUGCUUAAUAGAUAUCUGUUUGUUUCAAACAGAAGAAACACUGCAGCCUAUCAUCUAUUCCCUCAAAUUUACCGAGAUGACAGUGUUAAAGUUAGUGGUUUUGAUAAUUGUAGUGUUUGCGCAGGUUUACUGUGCCCUGGGAACCCCAACCAGCGACGAUUGAGAUAUUUGGUCGAUUGAAAACUGGCAGAGGGAUCCGUUGGAGAGUGGCUUGGCCUUCCGCGUGGUUGACCUCACCAAGAGGUCCAAAUCGCAGCAGGUUCAACAACUCGUGGAGAAAAGCUCAGGAAAUAAAGAAAUGUUUUUUGGACUCAUGGGUCGAAGGUCCCCAAGUGGAGUCACAAGAGGAAUGGAACAAGCCCUAGUAUUACUAGAGAUGAGAUAUAACUUGAUUGUUCAAAGUUACUGGAAUAAUCAAUCUUGCUCAAAUUAUUCAUCUGGGUCAAAGCAAUCCAAUACAUGCAACAAAGUUUAAUUGAUGUAGCAUAAGUAAGGAAUGUGUAAUAAGGGUAAAUAAUUAUUUGACCCAUGUGUUUAAAAACUGGGGCAGGGAUUUGCUGCUACUAAUUGACAUUUUAUGUCUUCCUUAACUGUAUCUUUCUGUAUUCUCCUUUGCAAUACAAGCUGCUUGUCAUGUUCAAUCAAGUAUUUUUUUGUUGUUGCAUAAUAUUAGAUGGCUUGUUAUGCAUACAAACAGGUAUAUUUGUCUAACUUAAGAUAAUUCACACGAGAGCAUUACUGAACUUCAAGAUUCAUUAAUAUUUUCUGUGCUUCAUAUCAAAUACUGAUAAUUUGUCAGUGAACCCCUACACAUCUGUGGCAAUGGCUCAAUGCUGUUCAAAUUUCCUUAAUAAAAACAAUUUGUUCAAUCAAGUGCA